UGGCCGUAAACGAUGUGGACUUGGUGUUGGGAUGGCUCCGAGCUGCCCCAGUGCCGAAGGGAAGCUGUUAAGUCCACCGCCUGGGAAGUACGGCCGCAAGGCUGAAACUUAAAGGAAUUGGCGGGGGGAGCACAACAACGGGUGGAGCCUGCGGUUUAAUUGGACUCAACGCCGGACAACUCACCGGGAACGACAGCAAUAUGUAGGCCAGGCUGAAGACCUUGCCUGAAUCGCUGAGAGGUGGUGCAUGGCGUAGACGUCU
rnacentral:rRNA from 1 species